UGCAGCUCAGUGCAGGGUAUUUAGUCGGUUGUACAGUAUGUAGUGGCCGAUUUCCAUUCGUGCCAGUCCUAACAAUUGUUGUCGUGACAGACCCCUUUGGUUCCUAAUCCUGCUGAGCUGAGCGAUUAACCCCGGCCUCUUCCCAUCGUUUCUCAGUCGCCUAAUCAGUACCUGCUCGCUCACCUGUCCCUCAUUCCCCCUAAUCAGCCACUUCGUUAACUAUCCUCGAGCCACACUUCAGAUCAUUCGCUGUGCCGCACGGACUUUGCCGUCCAUUGUUUGUCUAAACGAACACUACUUUCUGCUCUUUGCUCUGCGUCGUCCGUCUGGCUCCUCAUUAUGCCGAUCCUCCUCUCUCCUUGUUGUCCGUCACAUUGUUAAAGAAAAGCCUCCAGAUCCACAGCGCGCCUCUGCGGGACCGAGAAGGGUGAUUGAUUCAAAUCAAAUGGAUGUUGUCCAGUUUCUUAGCGGGGUGUGUGUCGUGCUUCCCGGUGACCCAACCCAGAGGCAGAGGUGAGCGUGCUGAAAAAACGAUCCUUCCCGACGUGCGUCUCGGCAGCUGCUGCUGGAAAUGGAUGAAACAGAUGAAGCAAGAAGAAAAAUAUGCUUCCAAAUUUCACCCCGCUCAGGCACUGACGGCUCCUUAGCGCACGCUGUCUCUCCCAAAGUUCACAAGUGAAGAUAUGUGUUGUUAUGGUUUUAAGGGGGCCGAAGGUGUCGAUACACCAGAAAAUCUCCCUCAGUGUCGGCCGGCACGCAGACGCACGUGGAGGACGUCGAGAUGGCAGCAGAGUGAUAAUGCUAGUGUCACAUUGUAAUGACUGUGUUGAAGCGAGAGAAGCAGCAGAUGAAGAAAAUAUUAGAAAUUGAUGUACAAUUGAAGUUCCACAAGGUGUGGCAAGACAUUUACCGAGCUGUGUUAGUUGAUGUUUUUUUAGAAAUGUAAAACCCGGAGUAAAAAUGUCACAAUAGAGGGCAAAAACAGA